UUAAACAUGAUUCCAUAUUCAUCUGUUUCCCCACAGCUGUUCACAAUGUUUUGGGUUGUCUACUUUCAGCAUCUCAGCUGGUCCUGAAGCCGGAUGAAAAGCAAAGGAAGGCCUACCCUGAGAACGCUCUUGGCUGCAUCUCAUACAUAAUCUGUAUGAACACCACUGUGCUGAUGCAGACCAGAUUGACCUGAUGACAUUGGACCUCAUUCCUGAACGCAGUUAAGAAAAAGUUAAAAAGAAAUUUCUUCUUAACUCCACUUACGAAGUUCCUGAAUGGUUUCUCAUCCGGGAUUUGUUCUUAGCUAUAAGAACAGGAUAUAAGAACGUGGAAAAGCAGUCGUAGAUAGGCAAGAUUGGAGUGUGCCCAUGUUCUUAAGG
rnacentral:lncRNA from 1 species